rnacentral:lncRNA from 1 species
UAUCAUGAAACAAUCGACUCAUUUGUCCAAUUUUAUUUCUAGUGAAUCAUGAAUACCUUUGAGACAUCUUAAUCCUAAUAAGACAAAAUCCAAAUGAUGUCAGUUGUCAAAUAAUACUAUGUCAAAUAAUACCUUUGAGACAUCUUAAUCCUAAUAAGACAAAAUCCAAAUGUUGUCAAAUAAUACUAUAGACAACACACACACA